UUUUUUUAAUAUUCAUUUUAGUUCUAAUGCAGAUAAUAUAUAGUAUUUAUUAGAAAAUUUCCCAGUCAUCUCUAUAAAUAGCCUCUUGAUAUGUAUUGCUUAUUGAUUGAUAACUUGAAAGAGAAAAUGGUUUAUGCCAUCAACUGCUUCUGUUUUUUCAUUGCAUUGCUAAGCAUGGCAUCCAUUUUAAAUCCAGGAGGAGUUAGUGAUGCAACAACAACUAGUGAUCUCUUUGAGUUUUGCACUACCAACGGGCCAUGUCCAAAUAUUAAUGACAACUGUACUGAUUAUUGUAAGGAAAUAUGGAAGCUUCCUUAUGGUGGCACGUGCUUUGAAAAUAAAUGUUGUUGUUACACUGGAUAUAUGCUCAUAUGAUUUUAGUCUAUAAUGUUUAAUUAGUGUUAUAUAUUUUGAAAAUUUGUGCACUUAUAUUACUUAUGUGUCCAAAAAUUAUAGUAAUUAAAAAUGUAGAAAAAGUAAAAAAUUAGAUAAUAAAUAAAUACAUCGAUUUUAGUUUUAAA